AUGCAGUUGGUACUUGGUACCGAUAAGCUUUACAUGAUAUAUCUGGUGGUUGGAGAAGCGUUUUUGAGAGAAAAUACAAGUCUCCCCAUCUCCACACCGCACGUUUGGAAAGUUGUAUCAUCCAUGGCACCCCCCAAGGUGGAACCCCUCGGGCAAGAAGCAGCAGCAUCCACGGCGCCAGAGGUGGAGAAGGCCACCCCGUCUGGGAAGGAUCUCAAGGGCGAGAAGCCGCCGCCGAAGAGCAAACCCGAAGAGAAGGGCAAGCCUGAAAGCAAGGGAAAGCCACAGGCCGUCAUCGAUAGGAAAUUCUCCUAG
rnacentral:rRNA from 1 species